rnacentral:rRNA from 1 species
AAUAGAUACCCGGGUAGUCCACGCUGUAAACGAUGUGUGCUAGACGUUGGGGAGCCUAGCUCUUCGGUGUCGCAGCUAACGCGGUAAGCACACCGCCUGGGGAGUACGGCCGCAAGGUUAAAACUCAAAGGAAUUGACGGGGGCCCGCACAAGCGGUGGAGCAUGUGGUUUAAUUCGACGCAACGCGAAGAACCUUACCAGCCCUUGACAUGUCCCGUAUGGUUCGGAGAGAUCCGAUUCUUCAGUUCGGCUGGCGGGAACACAGGUGCUGCAUGGCUGUCGUCAGCCCGUGUCGUGAGAUGUUGGGUUAAGUCCCGCAACGAGCGCAACCCCCGAUCCUCAGUUGCCAUCAGGUUGAGCUGGGCACUCUGGGGAAACUGCCGGUGACAAGCCGGAGGAAGGCGGGGAUGACGUCAAGUCCUCAUGGCCCUUAUGGGCUGGGCUACACACGUGCUACAAUGGCGGUGACAGAGGGGAGCGAGGCAGCGAUGCCGAGCCAAUCUCAAAAAGCCGUCUCAGUUCGGU